CCUACGGGUGGCAGCAGUGAGGAAUAUUGGUCAAUGGCCGAGAGGCUGAACCAGCCAAGUCGCGUGAGGGAAGACGGCCCUACGGGUUGUAAACCUCUGUUGUCGGGGAGCAAAGCGAACCACGUGUGGUUCAUUGAGAGUAACCGAAGAAAAAGCAUCGGCUAACUCCGUGCCAGCAGCCGCGGUAAUACUGAGGAUGCGAGCGGUAUCCGGAGUUAUUGGGUUUAAAGGGUGCGCAGGCGGAGGUGCAAGUCAGCGGUCAAAUUGCGGGGCUCAACCCCGUACUGCCGUUGAAACUGCAUCCCUUGAGUGCGCGAGAAGUAUGCGGAAUGCGUGGUGUAGCGGUGAAAUGCAUAGAUAUCACGCAGAACUACGAUUGCGAAGGCAGCAUACCGGCGCGCAACUGACGCUCAUGCACGAAAGCGUGGGUAUCGAACAGGAUUAGAUACCCCUGUAGUC
rnacentral:rRNA from 1 species